rnacentral:rRNA from 1 species
CGGACGGGUGAGUAACGCGUGGGCAACCUGCCCCAUAGAGGGGGACAACAGCUGGAAACGGCUGCUAAUACCGCAUAACAAGGAGAGAGCGCAUGUUCUUUUCUUCUAAAGAUUUAUCGCGUAUGGGAUGGACCCGCGUCUGAUUAGCUAGUUGGUGAGGUAACGGCUCACCAAGGCGACGAUACAUAGGGGGACUGAGAGGUCAACCCCCCACAUUGGUACUGAGACACGGACCAAACUCCUACGGAAGGCAGCAG